GACGAACGCUGGCGGCGUGCUUAACACAUGCAAGUCGAACGGAAAGGCCCUGCUUGCAGGGUACUCGAGUGGCGAACGGGUGAGUAACACGUGGGUGAUCUGCCCUGCACUUCGGGAUAAGCCUGGGAAACUGGGUCUAAUACCGGAUAGGAGCCAUUUUUAGUGUGAUGGUUGGAAAGUUUUUUCGGUGUAGGAUGAGCUCGCGGCCUAUCAGCUUGUUGGUGGGGUAAUGGCCUACCAAGGCGGCGACGGGUAGCCGGCCUGAGAGGGUGGACGGCCACAUUGGGACUGAGAUACGGCCCCGACUCCUACGGGAGGCAGCAGUGGGGAAUAUUGAACAAUGGGCGCAAGCCUGAUGCAGCGACGCCGCGGGGGGGAUGACGGCCUUCGGGUUGUAAACUCCUUUCGCUAGGGACGAAGCUUUUUGUGACGGUACCUAGAUAAGAAGCACCGGCUAACUACGUG
rnacentral:rRNA from 1 species